rnacentral:rRNA from 1 species
GGUGAACGCUGGCGGUAUGCCUAAUACAUGCAAGUCGAGCGAACAGAUAAUGAGCUUGCGCUUUUACCGUUAGCGGCGGACGGGUGAGUAACACGUGGGUCACAUUCUUCUUAGUCUGGGAUAACACCGGGGAACCGGUGCUAAUGCUGGCUCACACUUCGUACCGCUUGGUUCUGAAGUGCAUCAUGGCUUGGCUGUUUCUAUUAGACGGUCUCGCGCCGUAUUAGCUAGUUGGUAAGGUAACGGCUUACCAAGGCAACGAUACGUAGCUGACCUGAGAGGAUGAUCAGCCACACUGGAACUGAGACACGGUCCAGACUCCUACGGGAGGCAGCAGUGGGGAAUAUUCGGCAAUGGGCGAAAGCCUGACGGAGCAACGCCGCGUGAGUGAUGAAGGUCUUCGGAUCGUAAAACUCUUUUAUUGGGGAAGAACAAAUGUGGAAGAAACUGUGGACGUCUUGACGGUACCUAAUCAGAAAGCCACGGCUAACUACGUG